rnacentral:rRNA from 1 species
UACGAAGGGGGCUAGCGUUGUUCGGAAUUACUGGGCGUAAAGCGCGCGCAGGCGGUUUCUCAAGUCAGUGGUGAAAGCCCGGAGCUCAACUCCGGAACUGCCAUUGAAACUGUGAAACUUGAGGACGAGAGAGGUGAGUGGAAUUCCCAGUGUAGAGGUGAAAUUCGUAGAUAUUGGGAAGAACACCGGUGGCGAAGGCGGCUCACUGGCUCGUUUCUGACGCUCAGGUGCGAAAGCCAGGGGAGCGAACGGG